AUCUGGGUUCAGACCCAGGAGCAAGAACAAACCCCGGCGCCACGAGACGAGAGGCAGACCUCGGGUUUCAUACUGGCUUUGGCCCACGGGAGGCGGCUACCCGGGCGACGGAAGCCCUGGGCCGCCGGGUUCCCCUCCGGCCUCGGGAAAUCCUCCUCCUCCUCCCAGGCCACACGGUGCAAACUGCAGAGCUGGGGUCGGCCCCGGCUCCCGAGUCAGCACGCCGCCGCGCCUGUGCCCCCGCGCACGACCCGGCGUGCUGAGUCGUCGUGGGCGCGACUCACCUGCAGGCGGGGCGGCCGGCGAGCCCGAGCCCGAGCCCCGGCCCCGGCCCCAGCCCCGGCCCCAGCCUCGCUCCCUGCCCCAGCGCCCGCGCGCCGAGAGCGCCGUCCCCAGCGAGCAGGGCCUGGACCUUGCCCUUGCCCCUCGGAGCGCCCCCGGGGGGUGGCGGGAUCUCGGCCGGGCCCGGCUGGGGACGCCCUGUCCGGAAUCGGGGGGGCUCGGGCCCGCCGAGCAGUCCCGGCCAGGCCGCUCUCCUCCGCCUCGCGCGCCCGGAGCGCGGUCCACACCGUACCUUCCGGCCACUCCGCCGUGCCGAGCCAGAAAGUUCCGCCCUCUGCCCUAGCCCGGGUCCCCUCGCCGCCACCGCCGGGCCGGCCCGGAGACGCCCGGCUCAACCAGGGCUCGCACCGCCUCUUCCGCGUAGCGAGCUGUCAGCUGAGCCGGGCGGAUCCGGCUGGGGCGGCCCGGCGAGGAGUGGGCUUCGCGCAGGCGCCGUGGCCGCCCCGGUCCCUCGGUCGCCCCCUGCAGGCCAAAGGCGGCGCUGCCGGCGCGGUCCCGUCACCGCGCCCCACACGCGGCCCUGGCAAGUUGAUACAAACGCAGCUUCUGUGCCCCCGGGGCUCCUUCUUUUCAGUAGUUCCGGGAUGCGCUCGGGAAUUAGAAGUUUUGCCAACCCUUAGAGGUGAGGGGAGGCCAUGGUCUAUCCACGACAGACCUGCUCCUCCGGGCCGACUAAGCAGGUUGCCCAUUUCUGUGGUACCUCCUCUAGGAGAGCAUUCACCAUUGUUAUUACCGCACUUAUUGAGCAGUUAG
rnacentral:lncRNA from 1 species